UCUCUGCUUCUCGGCAGCACUGUUGGAGCUCCUCGGAGUUCGCCGGAGCUCACCAAACCACCGGGAAAAGAGAGGAAACAAAACCCUAGUUGCUCUCUCCUUUUUCCCCCACCAACAGCAGCAUUUUUGCUGCCUUUUGUUUCCUCCAACAGCAGCUAGGCUGCUGUCCUUUUUCUUGGCAUCAUCGUCGGAGUUCGCCGGAGCUUGCCGCAGCUUGCCGGAGUUGCCAACAAAGAACCUUAAUUGCUGCCCUUAUUUCCAGCAGCCACAGAAAAAUCCUUAGAAGAUACGAGCUCGAGUGGAGCGCGGUGACCUGCCGACACGCGCAGAUUUUGCUGUACAUAAGUUUUGCAGACACAGGGAUCCUUGUGAUAUUAUAGUUGAUUUUGGACUUUCAUAGAGUUGCUCAGAGAUCUCGACGUGCUGAUUUUCUGGUUUGUUUUUACUUUUGUUUUGCUGUAUUUACA